GCGGCCUAUCAGCUUGUUGGUGAGGUAAUGGCUCACCAAGGCGACGACGGGUAGCCGGCCUGAGAGGGCGACCGGCCACACUGGGACUGAGACACGGCCCAGACUCCUACGGGAGGCAGCAGUGGGGAAUAUUGGGCAAUGGACGCAAGUCUGACCCAGCGACGCCGCGUGCGGGAUGAAGGCCUUCGGGUUGUAAACCGCUUUCAGCAGGGAAGAAGCGAAAGUGACGGUACCUGCAAAAGAAGCACCGGCUAACUAUGUGCCAGCAGCCGCGGUAAUACAUAGGGUGCAAGCGUUGUCCGGAAUUAUUGGGCGUAAAGAGCUCGUAGGUCGUUAGUUACGUCGGAUGUGAAAUUUUGGGGCUCAACCCCAAACCUGCAUUCGAUACGGGCUAACUAGAGUUUGGUAGGGGAGACUGGAAUUCCU
rnacentral:rRNA from 1 species